rnacentral:rRNA from 1 species
UGGGGAAUUUUGGACAAUGGGCGAAAGCCUGAUCCAGCAAUGCCGCGUGUGUGAAGAAGGCCUUCGGGUUGUAAAGCACUUUUGUCCGGAAAGAAAUCCUUGGCUCUAAUACAGUCGGGGGAUGACGGUACCGGAAGAAUAAGCACCGGCUAACUACGUGCCAGCAGCCGCGGUAAUACGUAGGGUGCAAGCGUUAAUCGGAAUUACUGGGCGUAAAGCGUGCGCAGGCGGUUUGCUAAGACCGAUGUGAAAUCCCCGGGCUCAACCUGGGAACUGCAUUGGUGACUGGCAGGCUAGAGUAUGGCAGAGGGGGGUAGAAUUCCACGUGUAGCAGUGAAAUGCGUAGAGAUGUGGAGGAAUACCGAUGGCGAAGGCAGCCCCCUGGGCCAAUACUGACGCUCAUGCACGAAAGCGUGGGGAGCAAACAGGAUUAGAUACCCUGGUAGUCCACGCCCUAAACGAUGUCAACUAGUUGUUGGGGAUUCAUUUCCUUAGUAACGUAGCUAACGCGUGAAGUUGACCGCCUGGGGAGUACGGUCGCAAGAUUAAAACUCAAAUGAAUUGACGGGGUCAUAGCUG